GACGAACGCUGGCGGCGUGCUUAACACAUGCAAGUCGAACGUGAUUUUUGUGGAAAUUCUUUCGGGAAUGGAAAUGAAAUGAAAGUGGCGAACGGGUGAGUAACACGUGAGCAACCUACCUUACACAGGGGGAUAGCCGUUGGAAACGACGAUUAAUACCGCAUGAGACCACAGAAUCGCAUGAUAUAGGGGUCAAAGAUUUAACGGUGUAAGAAGGGCUCGCGUCUGAUUAGCUAGUUGGAAGGGUAAAGGCCUACCAAGGCGACGAUCAGUAGCCGGUCUGAGAGGAUGAACGGCCACAUUGGAACUGAGACACGGUCCAAACUCCUACGGGAGGCAGCAGUGGGGAAUAUUGCACAAUGGGGGGAACCCUGAUGCAGCGACGCCGCGUGAGCGAAGAAGGUUUUCGAAUCGUAAAGCUCUGUCCUAUGAGAAGAUAAUGACGGUAUCAUAGGAGGAAGCCCCGGCUAAAUACGUG
rnacentral:rRNA from 1 species